rnacentral:rRNA from 1 species
UACGUAGGGGGCAAGCGUUGUCCGGAAUCACUGGGCGUAAAGCGCGCGCAGGCGGUCUUUCACGUCCGGGGUGAAAGCCCAGAGCUCAACUCUGGGAUUGCCUUGGAUACGGGGAGACUUGAGGGUCGGAGAGGCAAGGGGAAUUCCACGUGUAGCGGUGAAAUGCGUAGAGAUCAGCAGGAACACCCGUGGCGAAGGCGGCCCCCUGGGCCGUACCUGACGCUGAGGCGCGAAGGCUAGGGGAGCGAACGGG